AUGGAGGAAUCUGUCCAGAGCUGUGCCCCUGCUUGCCACAGGAGCUGCGCGGGAGGAGAAGAACGUGGGCCAAAAGGAAUGGAGGAAUCUGUCCAGAGCUGUGCCCCUGCUUGCCACAGGAGCUGCGCGGGAGGAGAAGAACGUGGGCCAAAAGGUAAGAGGAGCUCCUUUGGGUUCUGGGCUUGAAGCAAAGCUGAGAAGCCAUGCCCGGGAGGAGGUGUGGGUAGCUACAGGCCACCUUGCUAUCUCCCCAAGAGAUGAGGUGUGUGGGCUAGGCACCGGGCAGGAGUGCUGGCCAGAAGCAAGCAUCUCUGUGGAGGAAGGCAAAGGGCGGAGGAGGUUCAAGGGUAGCUACCGGGCAUGGCCUUGCUCAGCAAGGGGAGGAAAAGCCUGAAGGGCACGAGAAGGGGAUAGAGAAGGGCAGGCAGUAGGCGUGAAGCUGCGAGCAGAGUAGAGAGCAACUUGGCAGAGCAGCAAGCAGAGUAGGCA
rnacentral:lncRNA from 7 species